GCAGAUUAUGAAAAAAUUUCCGUGGCAAGAAAUGUCCCGAACUCAGGAGAUCACCAGGCAGAUCCAAACGCCAUCUACAUGGAUUUGCAAAGAC